UACGUAGGGUGCAAGCAUUGUCCGGAAUUAUUGGGCGUAAAGAGCUCGUAGGCGGUUUGUCGCGUCUGAUGUGAAAUCUCGGAGCUCAACUCCGAAACUGCAUUGGAAACUACCUUGCUCGAGGGUUGGAGGGGGGACUGGAAUUCUCGGUGUAGCAGUGAAAUGCGUAGAUAUCGAGAGGAACACCAGUGGCGAAGGCGGCGUUCUGGACUGCAACUGACACUGAGGAACGAAAGCCAGGGGAGCAAACGGG
rnacentral:rRNA from 1 species